rnacentral:rRNA from 1 species
UACGUAGGGGGCGAGCGUUGUCCGGAGUUACUGGGCGUAAAGGGCAUGCAGGCGGUCGGACGCGUUUCGGGUGAACAGCGGGUGGCUUAACUACCCGAGUAGCUCGAAAGACGGUUUGACUUAGAGGACGCGAGAGGGACGACGGUAAGUUCCGGGUGGAGUGGUGAAAUGCGUAGAGAUCCGGAAGGAACACCGAAGCGAGGACAGUGUCCUGGCGCGUAACUGACGCUGAGGUGCGAAAGCCAGGGGAGCGAACGGGG